UUCACGUCUUCUAAGCCAGCCAUAACAAAUCUGAUUCUGAUAUUUUAAAUAUUCUUGAUUUUAAAAAGUCCCCGUUGACCUGUACGAAUAAGCAGUGGGCGGAAGAUCGGACUGCUGUGUCGACUGGUGUCAAGAUCGCUUGAAGAGGCAGAUCCGUAGUAUCCGCUCCCACCCGGUUCCAGCCUUCGGGACUCUCGACUGGGACAGAAUUCCACGCCUUUUGAUUGAAAGGUGCUACCUUGAUAAUCGUCUGUCGGAGGUCCAGCGACCUGGCACACAGCCGCCACCGCGGGCUGAUAUUGAAAACUCAGGGAAAGGCUUAGAGAUGGCCUUUGGAUACUCGAAGGAUGAUAAAUUGCGUUGCAUUUAAGAUGAAUCGGAGAGCACGCGGGGUUAGAAAAUGUGGGAACCAGGAUUACAAUUGGAUCCAGGAAUACAUGGUAAGCGAGGAAUCUCGGGGAUGACAGAGGGACUGGAACAUCAUAUUACCGCUGACACGGCUUUAAAUCACAACCCAGCAGCUUGUAAAUCUAAAUUUAGUUAAGUAACUUUCGAACGACAAUUAAAGCUAAUCCUACCUUAUC